UAGGGAAUCUUCCGCAAUGGACGCAAGUCUGACGGAGCAACGCCGCGUGAGUGAAGAAGGAUUUCGGUUCGUAAAACUCUGUUGUUAGAGAAGAACAGCGCAUAGAGUAACUGUUAUGCGUGUGACGGUAUCUAACCAGAAAGCCACGGCUAACUACGUGCCAGCAGCCGCGGUAAUACGUAGGUGGCAAGCGUCGUCCGGAUUUAUUGGGCGUAAAGCGAGCGCAGGCGGUCAAUUAAGUCUGAUGUGAAAGCCCCCGGCUCAACCGGGGAGGGUCAUUGGAAACUGGUUGACUUGAGUGCAGAAGAGGAGAGUGGAAUUCCAUGUGUAGCGGUGAAAUGCGUAGAUAUAUGGAGGAACACCAGUGGCGAAAGCGGCUCUCUGGUCUGUAACUGACGCGGAGGCUCGAAAGCGUGGGGAGCGAACAGG
rnacentral:rRNA from 1 species